rnacentral:rRNA from 1 species
GAUGAACGCUGGCGGCGUGCCUAAUACAUGCAAGUCGAGCGAACGGACGAGAAGCUUGCUUCUCUGAUGUUAGCGGCGGACGGGUGAGUAACACGUGGAUAACCUACCUAUAAGACUGGGAUACCUUCGGGAAACCGGAGCUAAUACCGGAUAAUAUUUUGAACCGCAUGGUUCAAAAGUGAAAGACGGUCUUGCUGUCACUUAUAGAUGGAUCCGCGCUGCAUUAGCUAGUUGGUAAGGUAACGGCUUACCAAGGCAACGAUGCAUAGCCGACCUGAGAGGGUGAUCGGCCACACUGGAACUGAGACACGGUCCAGACUCCUACGGGAGGCAGCAGUAGGGAAUCUUCCGCAAUGGGCGAAAGCCUGACGGAGCAACGCCGCGUGAGUGAUGAAGGUCUUCGGAUCGUAAAACUCUGUUAUUAGGGAAGAACAUAUGUGUAAGUAACUGUGCACAUCUUGACGGUACCUAAUCAGAAAGCCACGGCUAACUACGUGCCAGCAGCCGCGGUAAUACGUAGGUGGCAAGCGUUAUCCGGAAUUAUUGGGCGUAAAGCGCGCGUAGGCGGUUUUUUAAGUCUGAUGUGAAAGCCCACGGCUCAACCGUGGAGGGUCAUUGGAAACUGGAAAACUUGAGUGCAGAAGAGGAAAGUGGAAUUCCAUGUGUAGCGGUGAAAUGCGCAGAGAUAUGGAGGAACACCAGUGGCGAAGGCGACUUUCUGGUCUGUAACUGACGCUGAUGUGCGAAAGCGUGGGGAUCAAACAGGAUUAGAUACCCUGGUAGUCCACGCCGUAAACGAUGAGUGCUAAGUGUUAGGGGGUUUCCGCCCCUUAGUGCUGCAGCUAACGCAUUAAGCACUCCGCCUGGGGAGUACGACCGCAAGGUUGAAACUCAAAGGAAUUGACGGGGACCCGCACAAGCGGUGGAGCAUGUGGUUUAAUUCGAAGCAACGCGAAGAACCUUACCAAAUCUUGACAUCCUUUGACAACUCUAGAGAUAGAGCUUUCCCCUUCGGGGGACAAAGUGACAGGUGGUGCAUGGUUGUCGUCAGCUCGUGUCGUGAGAUGUUGGGUUAAGUCCCGCAACGAGCGCAACCCUUAAGCUUAGUUGCCAUCAUUAAGUUGGGCACUCUAAGUUGACUGCCGGUGACAAACCGGAGGAAGGUGGGGAUGACGUCAAAUCAUCAUGCCCCUUAUGAUUUGGGCUACACACGUGCUACAAUGGACAAUACAAAGGGCAGCGAAACCGCGAGGUCAAGCAAAUCCCAUAAAGUUGUUCUCAGUUCGGAUUGUAGUCUGCAACUCGACUACAUGAAGCUGGAAUCGCUAGUAAUCGUAGAUCAGCAUGCUACGGUGAAUACGUUCCCGGGUCU